GCACUGCCUCUCGCAUCCAUCGGCAGCACGUUCCUUCUCUCUCCUUGCCUCCUGGCGCUUUGCUGUCCCCCAGGGCUCACUAAGUCCAAAUGUUCCCUGAUGGAGUCCAACUCCAGCUUGACCAGCACUCACCCAGUCUGUCCCAGCACCAGCUGGCUUAGGGCUCUCCAGUACUGCUGGAUGUCACUGCCUUCUGUUGCUCCCUGUCAACAUGGUGGUGUUCGUUCUUUUUAGGUUCAGUAACGUGUCUUCUUGUUAUGCAGUGUUACUCUUCUCUGUUUUCUUGUGUUUCAUGUUGCCUGUCAAUGCCUCUUUGGAGAUACACUGAGUGUAAUGUAAACUGAUGUUCUUUGACCAUGUGUGAUGGAAAAUGAAGAUGUAGGCUCCACUACAGCUAUCGUAUCCACUGUCCUAGUCGAAGUGGGAAGGACCAUUUUGACUAUUUGUCAACACCCACAUGGCAAUCUGAAUUUAGGAGCCGCUUUCACAGAUGCGUCGCUGCAGGGCAAAGAAGGCCUCAAAACUUCAGCAGACCUGUACCCCCAAGAGAACUCUGAAACUUAUGUUAAGAAAAUAAAUGUCUUAAUAUUU